rnacentral:lncRNA from 1 species
ACAUUCGUAACGGUUGAAGAUUAUUACACACUUCUGUUUUGGUCGCCAAGUUUUCAAAAUUAUCCAUAACAACAAUGGAUAACUCUUUAUGAAGCAAUCGAAGAAUCAGCCAACUUAAUGGUUCAACUCCUAUUCUUAUUAUCACCAAAGUCGGAUGCUAGAAAGGCACUUCGAGCAGGAAAAGACCACUAUUUUGCAACCCCCCAAAACCCACGAGGCUGAAAUUUCUUGCUGC